GAGCCAUUAGCUCAGUUGGGAGAGCAUCUGACUUUUAAUCAGAGGGUCAGAGGUUCGAAUCCUCUAUGGCUCA
rnacentral:tRNA from 7 species